rnacentral:rRNA from 1 species
UCGGGAAUUUUGGGCAAUGGGCGAAAGCCUGACCCAGCAACGCCGCGUGAAGGAUGAAGUAUUUCGGUAUGUAAACUUCGUAAGAAUAGGAAGAAUAAAUGACGGUACUAUUUGUAAGGUCCGGCUAACUACGUGCCAGCAGCCGCGGUAAUACGUAGGGUGCAAGCGUUAAUCGGAAUUACUGGGCGUAAAGGGCGCGUAGGCGGCAAUUCAAGUCAUCUGUGAAAUCUCCGGGCUUAACUCGGAACGGUCAGAUGAUACUGCUUUGCUAGAGUGCAGAAGGGGCAAUCGGAAUUCUUGGUGUAGCUAGUGAAAUGCGUAGAUAUGUGGAGGAAUACCGAUGGCGAAGGCAGCCCCCUGGGAUAACACUGACGCUCAUGCACGAAAGCGUGGGGAGCAAACAGGAUUAGAUACCCGAGUAGUCCCUGAGCGGGCUGGCAAGGCGCAU